rnacentral:piRNA from 1 species
UCCAAUUUGACUUUUGGCCAUGGUGUU